CCAGAUUCUGUCAAGUGGAUUCUGGGGAAAAAGUGUGAAAACAAGUUCAAAUGAAAGAACUGUUUCCUACAUGAGACACUUUUCCUCCCAUCUCUCCUCUACAACCUGUAGCUUUAAGUGAAAUUAAUACUGGACAGACCAUCAAUCGUUAUCUGUGGGCACGAGGAAACAGCUCUCCAUCCAUCCAUCCAUCCAUUCACACAUACAUCCAGGAGGAGAUGAUUGUCAUGGUGAUGAAGGGCAAGGGCAAUGGAAGUUUAAGUAUUUGUGGUUUGUUUGGUGUAGCACCUGCUUUGAUGUUAACCUUCCAAGAUGGAGCACCUCCCAUUUGAGUAUCUCCUCAGCUGUUUCUCCAGACUCUCCUUAAAAGAAAUACUUGUGAGGAUUUCUUGCAAAUAAGUGCAGCUCAUCUCUUCUGUUCAUGACCUUCUUAGAGACUGAGACCUAACACUGAGCGAAGAUGGACUGCCCUCUCUCAAACCAUUCCUGGAGCAAGAAAAUUAAUGUUUAUUUAACAAAAGACUUUUGGUUGGGAUACAAAGUCAUAUGUAAAAAGAGAGAACAGGUUAAAAAUCGAU
rnacentral:lncRNA from 1 species